GCACCCAUAGCUCAGUUGGUAGAGCGGCUCGCUCUUAACGAGAAGGUCCCUGGUUCGAUCCCAGGUGGGUGCA
rnacentral:tRNA from 1 species